GGACACUGGGCUAUAUGGACCUUUGGUCUGACCCAGUAUGGCCAUUCUUGUGUUAUUACAGAUUUAGAGCCAUGCUAAAUCACAUGGAUGAUUGAAACUUCUGUGGAAUCUACAUGUAUGUGAAGAUAAAAAUUGGCCCUAGAAAGUCUAUUCUCCCCUUUGGCUGUCCUUUCUGUGUAACCAGACACUGCUUCGAUGUAGAGUUCUGAGCUGCUGAAAGAAGCAACCAACCAAUAUUAUGACAUGGCUGGUCAAAGAUUACAUUAGAGGGGUCAAUGCAUUUGCCACAGGGCUGUACCAAACCAUCAUCUUCAUCUGGACAUCAGAUUGAUGCUUGAAAUCCAUGCAAACACAACUGCACAUAAAUAGGCAUCUCUCGCAUUCCGCUUUCACCAAGGAUUUUAAGCACUAGCUGUUAGAUUGUGCAGCUAAGAUUAUUUUAGUUUGUAAAGGCAAUGAAUCAAUCCCCUCCCUGGUGAGUCAAGAGAAUUGAUUCAUCAUUGCCCCUGCACUUUGUGUGACACUGGUUAAAGCAGGUGUAAAACAGAUACCACAUCAUAAAGGUAACACUUAAAACCCAAUGUAAUUGGUGUGUGUCUAGACUACAGAGUUUUGUCGACAAAAGUGGACU